GCACAAGCGGUGGAUGAUGUGGAUUAAUUCGAUGCAACGCGAAGAACCUUACUACCCUUGACAUGUCCGGAACUUGCCAGAGAUGGCUUGGUGCCCGAAAGGGAAUCGGAACACAGGUGCUGCAUGGCUGUCGUCAGCUCGUGUCGUGAGAUGUUGGGUUAAGUCCCGCAACGAGCGCAACCCUUAUCAUUAGUUGCUACGCAAGGGCACUCUAAUGAGACUGCCGGUGACAAACCGGAGGAAGGUGGGGAUGACGUCAAGUCCUCAUGGCCCUUAUGGGUAGGGCUUCACACGUCAUACAAUGGUCGGUACAGAGGGUUGCCAAGCCGCGAGGCGGAGCCAAUCCCACAAAGCCGACCGUAGUCCGGAUUGUUCUCCGCAACUCGAGAGCAUGAAGUCGGAAUCGCUAGUAAUCGCAGGUCAGCAUACUGCGGUGAAUACGUUCCCGGGUCUU
rnacentral:rRNA from 1 species